rnacentral:rRNA from 1 species
AUUGAACGCUGGCGGCAAGCCUAACACAUGCAAGUCGAACGAGUGGCGGACGGGUGAGUAAUGUCUGGGAAACUGCCUGAUGGAGGGGGAUAACUACUGGAAACGGUAGCUAAUACCGCAUACCAUCGGAUGUGCCCAGAUGGGAUUAGCUAGUAGGUGGGGUAACGGCUCACCUAGGCGACGAUCCCUAGCUGGUCUGAGAGGAUGACCAGCCACGCUGUAACUGAGACACGGUCCAGGCUACUACGGGAGGCAGAAGUGGGGAAUAUUGCACUAUGGGCGCAAGCCUGAUGCAGCCAUGCCGCGUGUAUGAAGAAGGCCCUCGGGUUGUAAAGUACUUUCAGCGGGGAGGCGUUACCCGCAGCAGAAGCACCGGCUAACUCCGUGCCAGCAGCCGCGGUAAUUC